GAGAAAGAAGAGAAAGAGCUACGUGAAUGGUUUGAGCAGCUUCUAAACUUCUCAGAAUAACAACCAAGCAGCAUUAUUGAAAGACUUAAAGCAUUUCAGAUCCUUUGAUCUGGCAAAUACACUCCUAGAAAAUCAUUCUAAAAUGACAAAAGGAGUCACAUCUGAGGAAAUGGAUUAAAUACCCAGCCAUCCCUCAGAAUUUGCGGGGGUUUUGCUCCAGGACCCACACGUGUACCAAAAUCUACAGAUGCUCACGUCCUCAGCUGCCGGGAAACACUGUUUGUGGGAGAGCCUCAGCAGAAGAGAGAAACCGCAGCAGAUACCAGCAAUGGAAAGAUGCCAACAUGCACAGCUGCCCUCCACAGCCACAGGAGAACUCAGAGAAAAGCCAAGAGGCAUGGGGUGGACACACCCGAAGCAGCUUCUAAUGAGUUAUGCUGCUGUAUAAUGCCUUCCUCUUGAGCAGGAGUGGAGCCCGAGACCACUUCUCACCAAUAGAAUAUAAAAAGGCGAUGGGUUUAUGUUUAUGUUUGACGAGGUUAUACAAUAAUCUAAUGAUCGGUAACGCUAUGCUUAUGUUCAAUUAGGUUAUACCAUAACCAAAAGUGAAGGAGUUCUGCUGAAGUCAUGAAGGUCCAAGUCAAUUCAUUCUGUUACUAAGAGGGAAGUUAUCCUGUGUGGACUUGGCUGGUUCCGUCUUGAGGUCAGUGAGAUCCCUCUCUUUGACCUGGAAGAAGAAACAGCCAUAUUGUCAAUUGUCUUUAACAUACAAUCUCCGCCCAGCUGACAAAGUGAUGAGACCCUGAGCAGGGCACUCUGGAAUCCUGGCCCACAAAAACUGUGACAUAAUGA